rnacentral:ncRNA from 1 species
UUUAUCCAGAAAGGUUGAGGGCACAGGCCCCAUGAUACCUUAGCAACCAGGAAAAUAAUUCCUAGGUGCUAAUUCCUGCCCUGAUUUAUUUCCAGGGAAAGAUAAGA